rnacentral:rRNA from 1 species
AUGGAUUCCAUCUUAGCUAACGGUACCUGGGAGAUCACUGACCGUCCUUAUGGGUGCAAACCUGUAGGAUGUAAGUGGGUGUUCAAGAAGAAGCUUAGACCUGAUGGUACGAUUGAAAAGUACAAGGCACGGCUUGUGGCCAAGGGUUAUACCCAGAAAGAAGGUGAAGACUUCUUUGAUACUUACUCACUCGUGGCUAGACUGACCACAAUUCGGGUGCUACUAUCACUGGCUGCCUCACAUGGUCUUCUCGUUCAUCAAAUGGACGUUAAGACGGCCUUCCUCAAUGGAGAAUUGAAGGAGGAAAUUUACAUGGAUCAGCCAGAUGGUUUUGUAGUACCUGGUCAGGAAGGAAAGGUGUGCAAGUUAUUAAAGUCUUUAUAUGGCCUUAAACAAGCUCCUAAGGAGUGGCAUGAGAAGUUCGAAAGAACAUCAACUGCUGCCGGCUUUGUAGUAAACGAUGGGGACAAGUGUGUGUACUAUCGCUAUGGUGGGGGCCAAGGAGUUAUUCUUUGUCUGUAUGUCGACGACAUAUUGAUCUUUGGAACCAAACUUGAUUUAAUCAAGGAGGUUAAGGAUUUCUUAUCUCGCUGUUUUGAGAUGAAGGAUCUAGGAGUAGCUGAUGUUAUCUUAAACAUCAAGCUGUUGAGAGAUGAGAAUGGUGGGAUCACACUGCUUCAGUCUCACUAUGUGGAAAAGGUCUUGAGUCGUUUUGGGUAUAGCGACUGCACACCUUCUCCAACUCCAUAUGAUGCUAGUGUGUUGCUUCGAAAGAAUCGACAGAUUGCUAGAGAUCAACUAAGGUAUUCUCAGAUUAUUGGCUCGCUUAUGUAUUUGGCGAGUGCCACGAGGCCUGACAUCUCUUUUGCUGUGAGCAAGCUGAGUCGGUUUGUGUCAAAACCGGGAGAUGAUCAUUGGCAUGCGCUUGGAGAGUUAUGCGCUAUUUCAAAGGCACCGCGAGCUAUGGGAUUCACUACACCGGGUAUCCAAGGGUACUGGAAGGUUACAGUGACUCAAACUGGAUUUCUGAUCCUGAUGAGAUAA